UGCCCAGUUGUUUCAUGCCAGGAGGAGGAGCCGCCUGCUGGAGGCUGGAGCUUGUGGCACCACCGCUCGCCUCGCUGUGGUUGGUGGCGGCCAUGGAGACUAAAGACUCAGCGCUGGAGUGGUAGGAGGGCGGCAAUGAAAACUGAAGAGCACCAGAGCGAAAACCCUUUUGCUGUGCCUCAGGAUGGGGGAGAUGAGAUCUGAAAUACCCAGUGCAGCCUCCGAGAAGGACAACUUCUACAGAGAUGCCAGGGACAGCCGAGGUGGUAGAGAAGGGAAUGCUGCCUGUGCCCAAAGCCCCCUUCUGCGGACUUCUAAGAUUACGAGCAAACUCAGGGGUAG
rnacentral:lncRNA from 10 species